CAGCAGCCGCGGUGACACGUAGGCACCAAGCGUUAUCCGGAUUUAUUGGGCGUAAAGAGCUCGUAGGCGGUUUGGUAAGUCGGGUGUGAAAACUUAGGGCUCAACCCUGAGAGGCCACUCGAUACUGCUAUGACUAGAGUACGGUAGGGGAGCGGGGAAUUCAUGGUGUAGCGGUGAAAUGCGCAGAUAUCAUGAGGAACACCAGCGGCGAAGGCGCCGCUCUGGGCCGUAACUGACGCUGAGGAGCGAAAGCAUGGGUAGCAAACAGGAUUAGAUACCCUGGUAGUCCAUGCCGUAAACGUUGGGCACUAGGUGUGGGUCUCAACCAACGAGAUCCGCGCCGUCGCUAACGCAUUAAGUGCCCCGCCUGGGGAGUACGGUCGCAAGACUAAAACUCAAAGGAAUUGACGGGGGCCCGCACAAGCAGCGGAGCGUGUUGCUUAAUUCGAUGCAACGCGAAGAACCUUACCUGGGUUUGACAUGUACCGAAAAGCUCUAGAGAUAGGGUGUCCUUCGGGGCGGUACACAGGAGGUGCAUGGCC
rnacentral:rRNA from 1 species